rnacentral:lncRNA from 1 species
GUCUAAGCCAGAACUGAUCAUCUGUCUGGAGGCAAGGAAAGAGCCCUGGAACGUGAACACAGAGAAGACAGCCAGACACUCAGUUUUGUCUUCUUAUCUUACUGAAGACAUUUUGCCAGAGCAGGGCCUGCAAGUUUCAUUCCAAAAAGUGAUGCUGAGAAGAUAUGAAAGAUGUUGUCUUGAGAAAUUACGCUUAAGGAAUGACUGGGAAAUUGUGGGGUCCAGUCGUCGACCAUCGAGCUGCUUUGAAGACCCUGCGGAGGUUCCGUCGCUGCUUGAACACAGUGCCUGGACUCCCUGCUCCGUGAGGCGAAUUUACACCGGGUCCAGCUGCGUCAGCCCGAGUUCUGAAUUAAAACAUGCCUCCCACAGAAUCUAUUUCUGAUGAAUAUGAAAGGAAGAUUGUUCUUCCAUGUUGGUUUUUAUUGAGAUAUCUCUUUUUUUCCCUUUUCAUUUGGUUGUCCUAACUCCAUGAAUAGAAAAGAAAAUGUAU